GUCUAUGGCCAUACUACCCUGAACAAACCUAAUCCCAUCUGAUCUCGGAAACUAAGCAGGGUCAAGCCUGGUUAGUACUUGCAUGGGAGAUCACCUAGGAAGACCAGGUGCUGUAGGUA
rnacentral:rRNA from 1 species